AGGCAUGUGACUCUUCCGUCACUGUUAGUCUACUUAAAUCAUAUAUUUUAAGCAUUGUUCUUGAGUCAUUAAUGGUGGUAUAGAAAACAUUGUUAAGGGUUUGAAUGCAUAAUGUUGAGAAUAUUUUUCUCAUGGUUUAAAUUAUAAUUAUACAUGUUUUGAUAAUGGUUUUGCAUAUGUGGGUGCAUGGGAUCUGUAGCUUAACAAAUAGAUCAUGCUUAACCUUAAAUAUAUUUGUUUUUAUUGGCAUUAAUAAUGGUAUGCCCUCAACUUAUUUGUGAAAUUGGCAAUGAGAAUGAUCUUGUCACAUGCUGAAUUUUGUUUUGAAUGAAGGCAUUGGCCUAGUAAUUUAAAUGGUUUGUAAAUGAAUUCAUGAAGGCCU
rnacentral:lncRNA from 1 species